UACGUAGGGGGCAAGCGUUGUCCGGAAUUAUUGGGCGUAAAGAGCGUGUAGGCGGUCCGGUAAGUCAGCUGUGAAAGUCAAGGGCUCAACCCUUGAAUGCCGGUUGAUACUGUCGGGCUAGAGUCCGGAAGAGGCGAGUGGAAUUCCCGGUGUAGCGGUGAAAUGCGCAGAUAUCAGGAGGAACACCGGUGGCGAAGGCGGGUCUCUGGGCCGUAACUGACGCUGAGGAGCGAAAGCGUGGGGAGCGAACAGG
rnacentral:rRNA from 1 species